GACGGAAGGUGCAAGCGUUGCUCGGAAUCACUGGGCGUAAAGGGUGCGUAGGCGGCUUGGUGGGUCUGGUGUGAAAGCCCCGGGCUCAGCCCGGGAAGGGCGCUAGAAACUGCCGAGCUCGAGUGCCGGAGGGGAGAGUGGAAUUCCUGGUGUAGCGGUGAAAUGCGUAGAUAUCAGGAGGAAUACCGGUGGCGAAAGCGACUCUCUGGACGGCAACUGACGCUGAGGCACGAAAGCGUGGGGAGCAAACGGG
rnacentral:rRNA from 1 species